AAGAGUAAAGUACUUCCGCUUCCUUAGGUGGAGCUGGAAAGGUGGAGGCGGAAGUGACUGAUCAAUUCAGGGGCGUGGGGUUCGUUUAGGUUUUGCCCUGUGUAUGACCUCGUUUGGAGCCAUGAAACCAGGAAGCUCUUCCACGAGUUCACGAAUGGAAAUAACAUCAAGAGUUUUUCAUCUUCUUAGUGUGCAAGGUAUGGAUAUUCUGUGUGUGAACUUCAAGAGUAUCUAAGGGAGGCAAUAACAUGGUUGAUAAUAUACCAGAGACUACAAACUGUCUGUGCAUCCCAGAGGAACAGGAAGCUUGUGCAGGUGAAAAGACUGGAGGAGGAAGUAUGUUGAUGAUACCCAGGAAGCCCACCUUCCACUUCUUUGGUCAUCAGAAAUAAAUAUCAAGGAGUGCAAUUCCUGGAUUUAUGAUGUCUGAGGAAUAGUCUUAGUGGAUUAUCCCAAACUUGACACAUUUUUUGCAAAAUGCUAUACAAAAAGAAGAUACAUGCGAUUAUGACAAGAUUCUCCACUUGGUGUGACCAGUCUCAUACAACCCAAGGCUGUGUGUCCAAAGGCAACUGUACUGAUCUUGACAAUAAUCAAAAGGUAGCCAGGUGCAUCGGGGAAAGCACUGACAUUGGAGUCAGACAGACUGAAGUUCAUAUCUGAUUCUGCUAUAUGACAACGUGUGGGCUAUGUGGCUAACUUCUCAGAGCUUCAGUUUUCUCAAGGGCAAAAUGAAAAUAAUAGAAAUAAUAGAAUCCACCUCACAGGGCUGUGAAAUUAAAGGGGAUGAAAGAUACAUUGGUCCCUGCAGUGGGAAGUUUCCUUGACAAUGCAAUUAUUGAUUCCAGAGCUUUCAUGGUGAAAGAAGAGGGCAAAACUCAACCCGUCUCUUUAGACUUGGGAAGAAUAUGAAAGGACCAGGAGGGACACCUUUCCUAAUAACCUAGCUGAUGGUUCACUUAUUAGGCUGGAAAGCUGAAAAAUGACAUUCCCAGACUCCAUUGAAAUUAGAUUUCCAGAGGUGAUUUAUGUUCCACACAUCAGAUGUAUAUGCUCAAGAUUUGUUUAACAGGGAAGGAGGCAGUGGUGUGUGGGUCCCUUUUGCUCAUGUGAAUCUUACAGAGUUGUCUCACUAAGCCCAAAUUUGUCUAACUGGCCUUAUUUCCCUGGAGUAUAUCCUGGAAGUUUCCAUUCAAGCCAAUUUAAGUUACUUUAAAUUAGGAAAGGCAGAAAACAAAAGCCCAAACCUUUGUAAAGGAGGAGGAUUUGCUACAUUGUUCUCAAUUCAUCACAGAAGAGGAUGAAACUGAGUGAUUACACUUGCUGGAGAGAAAAAAAGUCCUUCCCCCGCUCACCCCAAAUAAAGCAUUAACUUUAUGUUAAUCCAUGAA
rnacentral:lncRNA from 1 species